rnacentral:rRNA from 1 species
UACGAAGGGGGGCUAGCGUUGUUCGGAAUCACUGGGCGUAAAGCGCACGUAGGCGGAUCUUUAAGUCAGAGGUGAAAUCCCAAGGCUCAACCUUGGAACUGCCUUUGAUACUGGGGAUCUUGAGUCCGGGAGAGGUGAGUGGAACUGCGAGUGUAGAGGUGAAAUUCGUAGAUAUUCGCAAGAACACCAGUGGCGAAGGCGGCUCACUGGCCCGGAACUGACGCUGAGGUGCGAAAGCGUGGGGAGCAAACAGG